CCGCCUCAGGAGCUGAGCCCCCGCUGGAGAGGCAAGCAUGGCUUUCAGGUUGGAUUUUUCCCUGGUGAGUGUGUGGAGCUCAUUAACGGAAAAAUCCCGGAGUCUCUCAUCAAUUCAGUGCCAAAGCCAGUGCCAAAGAAGCGCGGCAAGCUCCUCACCU